rnacentral:rRNA from 1 species
GACGAACGCUGGCGGCGUGCUUAACACAUGCAAGUCGAACGGAAAGGCCCUGCUUUUGUGGGGUGCUCGAUUGGCGAACGGGUGAGUAACACGUGAGUAACCUGCCCCUGACAUUGUGAUAACAUCAGGAAACAGGGGCUCUUACCCGAUAGGAUCUCCUGCUGCAUGGUGGGGGAUGGAAAGUUUCGGCGGUUGUGGAUGGACUCGCGGCUUAUCAGCUUGUUGGUGUGGUAGUGGCUGACCAAGGCUUCGACGGGUAGCCGGCCUGGGAGGGUGAACGGCCACAUUGGGACUGAGAGACGGACCAGAAUCGUACGGGAGGCAGCGGUGGGGAAUAUGGCACAAUGGGCGGAAGCCUGAGACAGCAACGCCGCGUGCGGGAUGACGGCCUUCGGGUUGUAAACCGCUUUCGCAUGUGACGAAGCGUGAGUGACGGUAAUGGGUAAGGAAGCAACGGCUAACUACGUG